CAAAGAUAGACAGUAAACAAUAUCAAUAUUACCAUGUACAUACAUAAUCAGAUUAGAACCUUGUCAAACGACCUUUUCGCCUGCUUACCAUAACAAUACUCUAACAGAUAUGGUAUAAAUGCAUCUUAGCUUUAUCUUCUGUUCUUUCUGCGAUAUUGUCUCAGGAGUUAGCUUCCGUGACUGGCAAGAUUAAGUAAAUAAAUCGCAAAUUGGAUAUACAUCAUAAAAAUAGCGGCAUUAACAGGAUUAAUUUCAUUCGGGAUUAUCCAAGCUGAACAUACUCAGGAAUAAUCAGGGCUGGGAUUAAUAUUUAUCAUGAACCGUUCAGUGACCUUGCUACUAUUCACCGUUAUAAUAUGCUGUACAAUAGAACAUAGUUACACACAGCUAGCUAGUGCCAAAGGCAAAGGUAAAGGUAAAGGCUGGGGAUUUGAGCCGGGUGACUUCUUCUUCAACAAGCAUGAUCAGGGAUUUAGAGACAAGUAUCCAGGAAGUGGGACUAUCAAACAUGUCACCAACUGUCUCUAUAUGACUGUAAACUGGUUUGAUUGGGGCAUGAAAGAAAGCAUCCUUCAAAACUUGGAGAACUGCAAGGUUGCUGUUCAAUCUGCAAAGGCAUUCUUCACGACUGACCAAAAUGUAGUGGCUAAUAAAAUCUUGAACAAACUAGAAAAACUUUUGUUUCGUGACCUGAAUUUCACGAUCACUACUGACGUGCGUGUAGUGAAAGAACUGGAGGAGAAGAAAAGUGAUUUUCUUAAUAUUCAUGAAGAACUCAGUAAUACGAACACAGAUUUGGAAACUUUUACGUUCCUGAACGCAUGUCUGUCAAUUCUUAACAAAAAGUUAAAGAACAACGAUUACAAUUCUUACCAACAAUACUUUGGAACGUGUAAGGACCUCCUCGAGGACUCGGAGAGCAGCGCUGAUGAGGAGCUAAAAAGUAUGUUACAAUACUUGACGGAAAUACUCUUGCAAAUAAAUAAUCUCAUAACACUGGCCAGUCAAAGCGUUGAAGAAGGUGACAGGAUUAUUGAGAAUCUUGAGAUAAAAUGGGAAGAGUUGAUAUCAGCAGUUGAAUUAGAAGGCUGCGAGGCAGAUCUUGUAGAAUGUGAACAGGAUACAUGUGAAAACAAAAAAUGUCUUCAGCCAAGGGGUGCACGUUGUGUGAUGACAAGAUGCGGACAAUGUAAAAGCAGAUGGUUGCGAAAACUAAAGGAAGUCGAAUGUGAGGAAGUUGUAGAAGUAGAAGAAGAGGAUGGUUCUGGGGAUGUAUAGUUAAAACAAUAUGUAGAGAUUGCCGAUAGAUCUAGACUUACCUCGCUCAUUCCUGUAGAAAGAAAAGUACAUUCGCGCAGCAAAAAUACAUGUAUUUGAAAGUAUAUACAUUUUAAUGUAAAAUAAUCCUGCAUUUUAAUGGAAAUAAAAUUACAAAUCGUGUACCAGACAAUGAACUGGUGCAUCGUUCAGGUAGAUGGACUAAAUUUAAUUGUUUAUAUCAUAUUGUUGUGUUUUUCUUUUAUUAAAUAUACUAAACACAACUACAAUCUUUGUUAUACUGGGCAGGUCAAAAACGUUCACAUUUCUAUUUC
rnacentral:misc_RNA from 1 species